rnacentral:misc_RNA from 1 species
GUGAAUCAUCGAAUUUUUGAACGCAUAUUGCACUCUCUGGUAUUCCGGAGAGUAUGCCUGUUUGAGUGUCAGUUAAAUAUCAAUCGGGGGUUUUGCCACCUUUGGUGUUGACGCUUCGGAAUUUGGUCGUUUUUACCUUUCGGUUAAGUUACUUUUAAUUUUUUAAUGUUAUUUGAACUUUUUUAAUUUUAUUUG